AUGGUGAUAUGGGCUGAUACAUUGCUAAAUUACAUGAUACAAACUCACUUCUUUUUUGAUUUUUGGUUUAGUUUGUUGUGCUACAAUGGCUCUCCUAGGAAUGUUCUUCCAUGCUUUGAUGUGCACAAUCCAGAAAGUGCAUGCUUCCAGAAACCAAAUAGGAUUUUGUGUGUGUUAUCUUCUCUUAAUUUCACAGUGAUCAUUUUGCAUCAGCCAAGCUUGCCCUUGUUACAAAUAAUUGUUCUGUUGCUCAGGGACAGCAGUGAGACAAUGCCUCUUUAG
rnacentral:rRNA from 1 species